GGAUAGCUCAGUUGGUUAGAGCGUGGUGCUGAUAACGCCAAGGUUGCAGGUUCAAUCCUCACAUGGGACUGCUGCA